rnacentral:lncRNA from 1 species
UGGUUUCACAACAGACACACACUAUCUUUAGAAGGUAAGGGAGUUUAUAUAGCUGGUCUCUAGCCAGUAACCACCAUUUUCUAACACGAAGUUCUUGUAAUUCACAAAUACAAUACGUACUGUACACAGGCAUUGGUACCACAUCUGGAGAUCGACGUCACAGCCAAGAACACUGAGUAUCAAGCUUGCUCCUUCAGUCAGUCGUCAGUAUGGACAUGGGAGGAACGUAGCCUCUGCCGGUCAUCUCCAGGUAAUAAAAGUGAGCUCUGUCCAUCCUGUUUGCUGUGAUCAUCCCAUUGAGCAGUGCGUUGUAGGUGACGCGAUCGGGCCUCCACCAGCGAGUCAUCUCCUGGUACACGGGUUCACCUUGCCCGACUUGAUGAGAGCGCUGAUGAUCGAGUUGUAGGCGUAAGGGUGCGGCAUUCCUUCCUUCCUGAUGGCGUUGAAAAGCGACACGGCCUCGUCGACCCGGUUCGCUUUGCAGAGAUGGAAGAUCAGCCUGGUCCGCGUCUGGCUGUUUGCAACACCGCUCCUCUCCAUCUCGUCAAAGAGCAUGCAGCCACCUUCGAGCUUCCCCGACUUGCAGAGCCCGUCCACCAAGCUGCUGUAGACGAAGCUGUCCGGAGGUCAGCCUCUCUCCUUCAUGUGCUGGAAGUAUAGCGAGGCCUUGGUCAGCUGGCGGCGCUUGCAGAGGCCGGAGAUGAGAGCCCCGUAGGUGACAACGUUUGCGGAGCACCGGCUGGAGCUCAUGUCGUCGAAGACUCCACAGGCAGCGUCGGUGUUCCCGGCCUUGCAGAACCCCGAGAUGAGAAUGUUGUACGUGUAGACGUCGGGCUUGCAUCCGGCCUCGAGCAUCUCGUCGAAGAAGGCCCGUGCUGCCUCAACGUCGCCACUCUUGCAAAGCCCGUCGAUGAGGAUGUUGUAAGUGAUGGUGUCCGGGGUGCAAAACGCCUUCUUCAUCUGGGCCAGCAUCUCCAGCGCACAGUCCAUCUUCCUGGCCUUGCACAGGCCGUGGAUGAGAGCGCUGUACACCACCUCGUUUGGAGCCAGGCCUCGAGCUUCCAUCGACUUGAAGAUCCGGACUGCCGCUCCAAUCCUCCCGGCCUUGGAGAGGCCGUCGAUCAUGGUGCUGAGAGUUACCACGUCGGGAACGCAGCCGUGGGACGUCAUCGUCUUGUAGACCGAGGAAGCUUGCGGGAUUUUCCCGGUCUGGAGGAGUUCCCGGAUGAGAGCAGUGUAGCAGACGGUGUCGAGAGCCAGUCCCCGCAAAGCCAUCUCCUUGAAAAGCUUGUAAGCUUCGAAGGAUCGCUUCUCCUUGCCGAGGCCAUCGAUGAGCGAGGUGUAAGUGACCACGUCCGGCGUGCAGCCAUUGUCGACGAUCUUGCGAAGGAGAUCAAUGGCUUCUUCGAGGCGUCCCAUCUUGCAAAGACCAUUGAGGAGAGCGUUGUAGGUGGCGAUGGUGGGAGUACACCCAUUGGCAGUGAUCUUCUCCAUCAGAGCCACGGCCUCUUCGAUCUUCUUGUUCUUGGCGAGCCAGUCCACAAUGGCGGUGUAGGUGUGGAUGUCGAUCGUGCAGCCAUUGAUUGUGGUCUCCUGGGCGAGGGAGUGAGCUUGGAUCAUCAUACCUGCCUUGACGAGGCCAUUGAUGAGGAUCGAGAAUGUCGCAGCGGUCACCGGCAUGGAUCUCCUCACCAUCUCGAAGUGAUCCAUCGCCGCGAGGACCUGGCCCGACUUGCACAGGCCGUGGAGGACGAGAUUGUGGGUCUUGAGCGACGGCGCCACGCCGUAAUCCUCCUCCAUCUCCCUAAUAACCGCGAAUGCCUCCUCGGGCUCGCGAGCCAGGCAGUAGCCGGUGAUGAGGACGUUCCAGGUCUCCACAUCCGGCCGAAAUAUCGUCGCGAGCUCGUUCUUGAGGAGAUUCCCGCCCUCCCUGUGGCGCUUGGUCCUGGCAAACACAUCCAGGCUGUGCUGGAAGCCGAAUCGAGGGGAGGAGAGGCACUGGAAGAGCUCCCAGGCGAGAUCGGCGUCCUUGAGGCACUGGAAGAUCUUCACCACGGCGUCAGUGGAGAUUUCCCGGCGUAGCCUGCCCAGCGCCGCCUCGAUCGAAUGACUGGAAGAGGAGGAGGAAGAGUGGAGCAUCUGCGCGAAAUCCCUGUAGCUCCAGACGCCCGCAUUGGAGCAAGCGGCAAGAUCGUCCGCCUCAUCCUCGGUGGAUUCCUGAGCUACCGGCUGCGUGGCGAUCGAUCUGGCGCGGCUGGGUACCUGGGCAAUGCGCGAUAGCCGGGCAAUGCGCGAGCAUCCAAAUCUUGCCGCCAUUCAUAAACCCUAACCCGUAGGGCUUUAGCGCAUCUUUUUUGAGUAACAUUCUUAUUCUCUUAGGGCUCAUGCGAUGGACGAGGACGACGAUGGAGGAGGUAUUGGAUCGCUGUUCCUGGACGAGAAGUAAGCUACUAGGAUUUAAUCGAUUCUAUCAUCCACUGCUAGCUACGUUGAGCAGCGCAUUUCCAUCGGCCAUCACGAGAUUCCUGUGCUCAGCCUACAAUGCUCUUCCAGUGAGUGUGUUCUUUCUCUCUCGGUUCCUCUCUUUCAAUGCGAUAGCUCGCAGCGGACUACGACCUCACUGGCCAGAUAAUCUGGCCUGGCACCGAGCUUCUCCUCAAUUACAUUGUGGAUCAUAGCCAAAGUUUUCAAGGAGCUUCGAUCAUUGAGCUGGGCUCUGGUGUUGGUAUAAAGUUCUUGGCAUGGUUUUCUCUUCUUUCUCUCUUUUUUUUUUUUUUCUAACACUUGUUUUUUUUUCAUGGUUUUUUUUCAUGGAGUGACUGGCCUUUUGUGUGGAAGGAUUGGCUGCCGCAAAGUCGUCAUGACUGAUCACAAUGACAUCGUUUUAAAGGCAGGAAUUUUCAUGCAUGGUUUCUUAAAACAAGUUUGGGGAUCGCUGCUAGAUCAUGCGGAAAAACGUGGCGCUUCAGCAGGACACGGCGUUGCUAUCGCGUGAGUUCUUUCUCACUGAUAUAUGAUAUAUGAGAGAUCUCGUUUGUUUGUUUGAUUUUUUCUUUUUUCCUCAUUGCAGGGAUUGCCUGUGAAAAGCUUGAGUGGGGGAAUGAAGAACAGCUCUCUCUCAUCCUUGACAAGCAUCCGGAGGGAUUUGACUACAUCCUUGGGGCCGACAUUUAUAUCCCUUUGAUGGAAGCUUUUUUACUCCAAGUUUCUCCUUGAACAGAUCCUAUCACGCUACCAGCAAUGCAACAUUCCUCCGCUAAUCAGGACUGUCAACAAACUUUUGCAACACCACCACUGCCGCAAGUUUCUUCUUGCUUACGUCUCUCGCAUACAGAGGUUAUUUUGCUUCUUUUUUUGUGUUUUCUUGAAUCUUUUGUUUCUUUUUUUCAGCACUGAUCGAGCAUUCUUUAACGAGGCAUCUGAGCACAACCUGGAGUUGCGCGAGGUGGAAGUGUCGAGAACCAGCCCAGGUGAUGGCAUUUACAGCGGUGUGAUUUACGAAAUCAUUCUCAAGCGAGAUUGUCACAAUUGUCGUACCUUUACUGCUCCAAACAUUUGAGAACUCGAAGAGCUACUCAAUGGUUUCAAACUCCUCUGGAAACGUUAGCAGUCAACCAGAGAAGAUGGUAUGCCAUAAAGGCUUGGAAACUACACAGCAAACAGUCUUUGCGAAGACUAUGUUGGUAUCUAUAUGGUAUUAGUAAACAUAAUUGAUCUUUUCAUUACACAUGGUUGAUGAUCUGAGUUUUGAAUCUCCUUUGCCUGCAUUUCAAACUAGUCUUUUGAGCCUUGCAUCUCCUUUGCCUGCAUUUCAAACUAGUCUUUUGAGCCUUGAAUUUCCUUUGCCUAGAUUUAAAACUAGUGAAGGAUCUAUUGCUGAGCAGCAACCUUGUAAAAUAAGCUGCCACGAAACAUUUUGUUGUUUUUACCCCUCAAAACUCCAAGAUGCACUGUCCUGUUACAUUAUGCUUUGCUUGCAUUGUCUCAUACUCAACAGAAUCGUGCUUUCAUGUGCUAUAUUUGUUACGAUACUGCGACAGCUUCCCAAAUCCCUGCUUGUAAUUUCGUUGGUGUACAUCGCCGUGACAUAGCUGUAGAGCAGCCGAGAUUACAAUGGAGAUACAAGAUUGGGACUCAGAUGGCAACACGGAAGAACAUAAGAGGAGAGCACAGAGAUUGGUGAGUCUGUCAGUGCAAGUGAAAUAUGUGGCUCUAGUAUUGGCAGCCUUGGAGCAAGGUGCAACAUACAUAGGGCAAAUAGCGUUCGUGGGUGCCACAGUGAUCCUGCUGGGGGGUUAUGUCUCUCAGCUGAAGUCUUACGAUUUCAGGCUCAUUUCUGGUCUGCUGCUUUCAGAGGGUGUGCGAGUGUUCCUAGGCAGCAAGAAUGUUGAUUACUUAGUAGCCGCUGGGUACCACAAAAGUAUCUUAGGAGGGAUAUUGACCUCGUCAUUGUACUGCGCUUUCGUAGGUUAUGACUUUUGCUAUCUGAGGACGCUGCCGCCAAAGCUUAUAAAGCACCUGUUCAUACAUCUCAUAUUCCAUGGGCUCCAAGUGUGUAGUGCAGCUGUAACAUUUGGUUUCUCUCUUGCUCGGCUCGAGUCAGGAGACUACAAACCCAUCUCAUCGUCGGGUACAGGGCAGGUGGCCAACUUUGUGUAUGGGAUCAGGCUGUUCUACAUUCUAACUUUGGUGGAGUCAUCAGUUUUCUUGGCGGUCAAACUACUGGGUUGGGACUCCUUCAUGUUGUGGCUGAGAAGUAUUGCAGGGGAAGCUGAAGGGCAUAUACUUGCACUCCAUGUAGGCCCACGUGUACAUGAGGCGUUUAUGACAGAGGGAUUCAGAAAAGCAUUAGGUGUAAAUCUUUUCACUUAUGUCAUCAAUUAUUUUUUGGAUGGUGUGGAAGAACAAUGCAGCUUCGAUCACAAGAAGGUACUGGAGGUCCUUUGCUGGAACAUACCUGAUCAAGCUAGAACCUUCGGAAGUAUCAAAUGCAUGAUUCAGCUCAUUGUUCUCGGAACAUCAUAUCAUGAAGGAGCAAGGCAUACUGCAAACAAGAUUCUAGCAAAGGUUGUAUUAACAAAAGGUCAGUUACACAACUUCCUAUUAGCUGUGCGAGAAUUUGGAAUAAUUCCUUUGGCGGUUGUGGACGGUGACCUGAUCAAAUUCCUGGACCACAUUGUCACAGAAACACCAGUCCGCUUUCUUCCUUGGGAAACCAGUUCCCAGCAAGCCUCCAAAAACCUAAUCAAAUCCUCAUUGACCGGAACCACCACAAAAUCAAGGCCCAGGGGCCCCAAAUUCUUGAAGGGGGGAAGANNNNNNNNNNNNNNNNNNNNNNNNNNNNNNNNNNNNNNNNNNNNNNNNNNNNNNNNNNNNNNNNNNNNNNNNNNNNNNNNNNNNNNNNNNNNNNNNNNNNCACUUGAGUGAAGCGGAGCUGGGCAUGCUCAAGAGGAGUCCUCGUAUUUAUGAGGCUAUACUGUGAUCUGAGAAGGGAGAAUGGCUUCACAACAGACACACACUAUCUUUAGAAGGUAAGGGAGUUUAUAUAGCUGGUCUCUAGCCAGUAACCACCAUUUUCUAACACGAAGUUCUUGUAAUUCACAAAUACAAUACGUACUGUACACAGGCCUUGGUACCACAUCUGGAGACCGACGUCACAGCCAAGAACACUGAGUAUCAAGCUUGCUCCUUCAGUCAGUCGUCAGUAUGGACAUGGGAGGAACGUAGCCUCUGCCGGUCAUCUCCAGGUAAUAAAAGUGAGCUCUGUCCAUCCUGUUUGCUGCGCUCAUCCCAUUGAGCAGUGCGUUGUAGGUGACGCGAUCGGGCCUCCACCAGCGAGUCAUCUCCUGGUACACGGGUUCACC